rnacentral:rRNA from 1 species
UGGGGAAUAUUGCACAAUGGGCGCAAGCCUGAUGCAGCCGUGCCGCGUGUGUGAAGAAGGCCUUCGGGUUGUAAAGCACUUUCAGCGAGGAGGAAGGUGGUGAGCUUAAUACGCUCAUCAAUUGACGUUACUCGCAGAAGAAGCACCGGCUAACUCCGUGCCAGCAGCCGCGGUAAUACGGAGGGUGCAAGCGUUAAUCGGAAUUACUGGGCGUAAAGCGCACGCAGGCGGUUUGUUAAGUCAGAUGUGAAAUCCCCGGGCUCAACCUGGGAACUGCAUUUGAAACUGGCAAGCUAGAGUCUCGUAGAGGGGGGUAGAAUUCCAGGUGUAGCGGUGAAAUGCGUAGAGAUCUGGAGGAAUACCGGUGGCGAAGGCGGCCCCCUGGACGAAGACUGACGCUCAGGUGCGAAAGCGUGGGGCAGCAAACAGGAUUAGAUACCCUGGUAGUCCAGCGCUGUAAAACGAUGUCGAUUUGGAGGUUGUGCCCUUGAGGCGUGGCUUCCGGAGCUAACGCGUUAAAUCGACCGCCUGGGGAGUACGGCCGCAAGGUUAAAACUCAAAGGAAUUGACGGGGUCUAGCUG